rnacentral:rRNA from 1 species
GGAUUAGAUACCCUGGUAGUCCACGCCGUAAACGAUGUGCACUAGAUUUAGGGGGAAUUGACCCCCUCUGAGUCAAAGCUAACGCAUUAAGUGCACCGCCUGGGGAGUACGGUCGCAAGACUAAAACUCAAAGGAAUUGACGGGGGCCCGCACAAGCGGUGGAUUAUGUGGUUUAAUUCGAAGCAACGCGCAGAACCUUACCUAGGCUUGAAAUCCUACGAAUCUGGCCCAAAAGCCGGAGUGCCCCUCGGGGAAUGUAGAGACAGGCGCUGCAUGGCUGUCGUCAGCUCGUGUCG